rnacentral:ncRNA from 1 species
CCGUUCAACUCGUUCCUCCGUACAAGACGUACAUUGAGGGGAGCUACGGGAG